GACGAACGCUGGCGGCGUGCUUAACACAUGCAAGUCGAACGGUAAGGCCCUUCGGGGUACACGAGUGGGGCACGGGUGAGUAACACGUGGGUGAUCUGCCCUGCACUUUGGGAUAAGCCUGGGAAACUGGGUCUAAUACCGAAUACACCCUGCUGGUCGCAUGGCCUGGUGGGGGAAAGCUUUUGCGGUGUGGGAUGGGCCCGCGGCCUAUCAGCGUGUUGGUGGGGUGAUGGCCUACCAAGGCGACGACGGGUAGCCGGCCUGAGAGGGUGACCGGCCACACUGGGACUGAGAUACGGCCCAGACUCCUACGGGAGGCAGCAGUGGGGAAUAUUGCACAAUGGGCGCAAGCCUGAUGCAGCGACGCCGCGUGAGGGAUGACGGCCUUCGGGUUGUAAACCUCUUUCAAUAGGGACGAAGCGCAAGUGACGGUACCUAUAGAAGAAGGACCGGCCAACUACGUGCCAGCAGCCGCCGUAA
rnacentral:rRNA from 1 species